AUGCCAGCAAAUUUGGAAAACUCAGCAGUGGCCACUGGACUGGAAAAGGUCAGUUUUCAUUCCAAUCCCAAAGAAAGGCAAUGCCAAAGAAUGCUCAAACUACUGCACACUUGCACUCAUCUCAUGGUGGCUCAGAGGUUAAAGGGUCUGCCUGCAAGGCGGGAGACCUGGGUUCAAUCCCUGGGUCGGGAACAUCCCCUGGAGAAGGAAAUGGCAACCCACUCCAGUAUUCUUGCUUGGAGAAUUCCAUGGACAGAGGAGCCAGGUAGGUUACAGUCCACGAGGUCGCAGAGUCAGACACGACUGAGCAAGUUCACUUUCACUUCACACGCUAGUAAAGUAACGCUCAAAAUUCUCCAAGCCAGGCUUCAGCAAUACGUGAACCGUGAACUCCCUGAUGUUCAAACUGGAUUUAGAAAAGGCAGAGGAAGCAGAGAUCAAAUUGUUAACAUCUGCUGGAUCAUCGAAAAAGCAAGGGAGUUCCAGAAAAACAUCUAUUUCUGCUUUACUGACUCUGCCAAAGCCUUUGACUGUGUGGAUCAUAAUAAACUGUGGAAAAUUCUGAAAGAGAUGGGAAUACCAGACCACCUGACCUGCCUCUUGAGAAAUCUGUAUGCAGGUCAGGAAGCAACAGUUAGAACUGGACAUGGAACAACAGACUGGUUCCAAAUAGGAAAAGGAGUCCGUCAAGGCUGUAUAUUGUCACCCUGCUUAUUUAACUUCUAUGCAGAGUACAUCAUGAGAAACGCUGGGCUGGAAGAAGCACACGCUGGAAUCAAGAUUGCUGGGAGAAAUAUCAAUAACCUCAAAUAUGCAGAUGACACCACCCUUAUGGCAGAAAGUGAAGAAGAACUAAAAAGCCUCUUGAUGAAAGUGAAAGAGGAGAGUGAAAAAGUUGGCUUAAAGCUCAACAUUCAGAAAACGAAUAUCAUGGCAUCUGGUCCCAUCACUUCAUGGGAAAUAGAUGGGGAAAUAGUGGAAACUGUGUCAGACUUUAUUUUUCUGGGCUCCAAAAUCACUGCAGAUGGUGACUGCAGACAUGAAAUUAAAAGACGCUUACUCCUUGGAAGAAAAGUUAUGACCAACCUAGAUAGCAUAUUGAAAAGUAGGGACAUUACUUUGCCAAGAAAGGUCCAUCUAGUCAAGGCUAUGGUUUUUCCUGUGGUCAUGUAUGGAUGUGAGAGUUGGACUGUGAAGAAAGCUGAGCACUGA
rnacentral:lncRNA from 1 species